rnacentral:tRNA from 1 species
GCUGCGGUGGCAGAGCGGUAAUGCGCUCGGCUUAUGACCGAGUGUGACCCCCACGAGGUCAUCAGGGGUUCAAACCCCCUCCGCAGCG